UACGUAGGGGGCAAGCGUUAUCCGGAAUUACUGGGUGUAAAGGGAGCGUAGACGGUGAUGUAAGUCUGGAGUGAAAGGCGGGGGCCCAACCCCCGGACUGCUCUGGAAACUAUAUGACUGGAGUGCAGGAGAGGUGAGCGGAAUUCCUAGUGUAGCGGUGAAAUGCGUAGAUAUUAGGAGGAACACCAGUGGCGAAGGCGGCUCACUGGACUGUAACUGACGUUGAGGCUCGAAAGCGUGGGGAGCAAACAGG
rnacentral:rRNA from 1 species